rnacentral:lncRNA from 1 species
UGUGGGUUCUGGGUUCUGCAUCUGUGGAUUCAACCAACCAGGAAUCAAAAAUACUUGGAAGAAACCGAAUGGAUGGUUGUGUCUGUGUUGAACAUGUACAGAAUUUAUUUGUUAUUAUUCCCUAAAUGAUACAGUAUGAAAUUGCAUCUGCAAAGUCCCUUUUGCCAUAGAAGUUACACUCCCAGGUUUCAGGGCCAAGGACAUGGGCAUUUCAGGAGACCAUGACUGAGCAGGGGCCUGGGGCUUUAGGAAGUGAGCAGUGGUGUGGCCUCAAAGAGAGCAGUUAGACUUCCCAAGCCCAAGUGGGGUGGAUUUCUCCUUCCAUCCCCUUCCAUUGCAGCACCCUGUCAAUAACAGGAUUCUCAUGGGACACCCAGAGACCAAGCCCUAAGCUAUGAGGCUAAUGGUCUUUGCAUCCAAGCUUUGCUCAGAAAGGACGUGCUGGCCAACAUGGUGAAACCACAUCUCUACUAAAAAUACAAAAAUUAGCCGGGCAUGGUGGCAAUGUCCUGUAAUCCCAGCUACUUGGGAGGCUGAAGCAGGAGAAUUGCUUGAACCUGGCAGGCGGAGGCUGCAGUGAGCUGAGAUUGUGCCACUGCACUCCAACCUAGGCAACAGAGCGAAACUCUGUCUCAAAAAAACCAAAAAAUAAAAUAAAAAAAUAAAAAAUAAAAAAUAAAGGCUAUGAAGCCAUCUUACUCCCAUCAAAAACAGAACUUCCUGUUCUAUGCAAAGCAAAACAUGAUCCUCUAACGUUUCAGUGACUUCCUCUGGGCACAUUUGGGGGCUGUCAGAGGUGCUGCUAUGACUAUAGACAUUCUCAUUCUCUUAACAAGUUUUCUUUGGCUAUGAGGGACUAAGUUAGACAUCAUAGAAGAACAAAGAAAACAUGUCUAGGAGACUGGUUUUUCCAGUGAACUAGGUUGAAUGUACUAUAAAAGUGAGGCAAACACAGCAAGCUAGGUGUCAGACCCACUGAGACCAGCGGGCCCCAAGACCUUUUCCACUAUAUCUGGCUGCUUCUCAGAAGAAAGAAGAAUAUGUUCAAAAAAGUACAUCUCCACCCACUCUUACAGAAGUGAUGAAACCUAAAAGGUUAAAUUUUAUGAAUUUUAAGAAAUCUAUGAAUUUAUAUUAUGCAAAGAUACAAUUUUAUCCCACUUCUAAUGAACAUUUAAUGUUGGGUUCACUAUAAAGACUAAAGUUAGGGCUGGACCCGGUGGCUCACACCUGUAAUCCCAGCACUUUGGGAGGCUGAGGUGGGCGGACCGCUUCAGCUCAGGAGUUUGAGACCAGCUUGGGCAACAUGGUGAAACCCCACCUCUAUAAAAAAAUACAAAAAUUAGCCGGGCAUGGUGGUGCAUGCCUGUGGUCCCAGCUACUUGGGGGGCUGAGGUGGGAGGAUUGUUUGAGCCCGGGAGGGAGGUCGAGGCUGCAGUGAGCCACGCUUGUGCCACUGCAGUCCUGCCUGGGUGACAAAGUGAGACCCUGUCUCAAAAAGCAACAACAAUAAAAAACAAAACCGACUAAAGUUAGGAGUUGUCAGGUUCUCCAUGGGAAGAUCAUCACAGUUCAGUGUAACAGCUAAUGAGCACUUAAGCGUGCCAGGGAGGGUGCUAAGCAGUCUCAUCACAAAAUAGGGGAAAUAAUAGUGCCCACCUCAUGGUGCUGUUGUGAAGAUGUACGUAGUACACGCAAAAUAUAUAUAGUCAUGUCAGCACAUAUUAAAUAUUUAAUAUGUGUCAGCUAUUGCUAUUAUCAUCAUUAUUCUUGCUUCUUUUCUCUUAUUUUGCAAUUAUAUAUCAAGGUAAACCACGCCCUCCCUACCCCCCACCAAAAGAGAAAAGGACAGUUGCAGCUGUUUCCUUGGAGGAAUCAGUCUAGACAAUCACAAAUGGCACUAAAAAAUAAUACCUGUCCACGGAGCUGAUAAACAUGCAGACCUGCCAUGAUCACCUCUCCUCUGGACAACUGCAAACAGCUUCCUAACUGGUGCGCCUGCAUCUACUCUCACUGUACCACACAUUUGUUUGCUACUCUAAAGCCAGAGGGCCGCCCUUGGUCCCCUUUGCUAAGGACAAGGAGCAAACUCCUUCAGCAGCCGCUACAUGGUCUCGCCAUGCCCUCCUCUCCAGCCUCAUCUUCCACUUGGUCCCUGGCUUUCUGCUACGGUGCCAUUAGCUCCUUCCAGCCCGCUAAUGCACUGUGCUCCCCUCAUCAUGCAGCUCUCUCACGAUAGAAUGCCUGUGGUUCUCCUGAUGCCCCUUGUCUAGUGAAUUCUGACUUGUCUUUCAGAUCUUAACUCACCCAUUUCCUCCUCUGGGAGACCCUGGCUGGCCCCAGGGAUGGGCUGACCUUCUGUCAUCUGCCACUUGGUGCUCAGCACCUUCUCUUGCAUACUCA